rnacentral:tRNA from 1 species
GGGGCUGUGGCUCAUAGGUAGAGUACUCGCCUACCAUGUGAGAGGCACUGGGUUUGAGUCCCAGCACCA